AAGAGUAGCUUGCUACUUAACCUAGCGGCGGACGGGUGAGUAAUGCUUAGGAAUCUGCCUAUUAGUGGGGGACAACAUCUCGAAAGGGAUGCUAAUACCGCAUACGUCCUACGGGAGAAAGCAGGGGACCUUCGGGCCUUGCGCUAAUAGAUGAGCCUAAGUCGGAUUAGCUAGUUGGUGGGGUAAAGGCCUACCAAGGCGACGAUCUGUAGCGGGUCUGAGAGGAUGAUCCGCCACACUGGGACUGAGACACGGCCCAGACUCCUACGGGAGGCAGCAGUGGGGAAUAUUGGACAAUGGGGGGAACCCUGAUCCAGCCAUGCCGCGUGUGUGAAGAAGGCCUUUUGGUUGUAAAGCACUUUAAGCGAGGAGGAGGCUACCGAGAUUAAUACUCUUGGAUAGUGGACGUUACUCGCAGAAUAAGCACCGGCUAACUCUGUGCCAGCAGCCGCGGUAAUACAGAGGGUGCAAGCGUUAAUCGGAUUUACUGGGCGUAAAGCGCGCGUAGGUGGCCAAUUAAGUCAAAUGUGAAAUCCCCGAGCUUAACUUGGGAAUUGCAUUCGAUACUGGUUGGCUAGAGUAUGGGAGAGGAUGGUANAAUCCAGGUGUAGCGGUUAAAUGCGUANANAUCUGGAGGAAUACCGAUGGCGAAGGCAGCCAUCUGGCCUAAUACUGACACUGA
rnacentral:rRNA from 1 species